AAACAACACAAGCACAAUGACAUCCAAGAAUUCCAUUGUUAUUCUGGUCUUUCUCCUCGUUACUCUCAUUAUGCCUGCCCAAUCCACCAGUUAUCCAAUUCCUGAUCAACUGAUUGUACCCUGCAUUUAUAUUGGACCGUGCGUAAAUAGUCGUCUUUGUGAAGGGCAUUGCCAAAUCAAACGCCGUCUUCCUGGGGCAUGCGUUGAUUAUAAUCAUACACAAAUUUGCUGCUGUCUUCCAUCAUAAUUUGGAUGGGAGUUCAGGAGGCCUUUUCGUUAAUGCAUAUAUAGUCUUCAUGAGUUUCA